AUCAGUUAACUGCAUAUGAAGAGUUUUGGAAGCAAGGAGCUCUUGGUUGCCUGGGAGAAGAGACCGACUGGGCACCAGCCAGAUUUAAUUCCAUUCACCACCACUUUUUGCUUGAACACCUCCAGGGAUGGAAACUCCACCAACUCUCUGGGCAGCCCAUUCCAAUGGCAAAUCACUCUGUCAAGAACUUUCUCCCAACAUCCAGCCCAUUACCUCCCUGCUAAACUGUGAUUGCUUCCAAGGGUGCUGGUUUGCCACAGCUAAAUUGAUCUAAUAAUUGCUGAGAGAGAUGGGCUUGCUCUAUUGAGUACCUGGGAAUGGGCAUUAUGGUUGUUGGGGUGGUCAGUCUCUCUUGGCACCAGGUGCUUAGAGUGGCUCUUGUUUCCACCAGACAAGGUCCAUCAGUCAGAGGUAGUGUUGGGUAG